CCGCGCUAGAUGGGGAGAUAGCGGUGCCCUGUAACCUGCAAUCCGCUACAGCAGGAUUGAAUUCCUGUCUUAGGCAUAUAUUUUUUGGGGUCUGCCUGCAGCAAGUAGUGUUGAAAAUCGGGUCCUGCGCAAUGAAAACCUGUGAAUCUGGUCAGGUCCGGAAGGAAGCAGCCAUAAGCGGGACCUUUCAUGUGCCGCAGGGGAUCCUGGUUGGAGCCAACUACUGCAGUAACGCUUGGGGGAUUGUGUCGAAGUCAGGUGCGCGG
rnacentral:SRP_RNA from 1 species